UACGUAGGGGGCAAGCGUUGUCCGGAAUUAUUGGGCGUAAAGAGCGUGUAGGCGGUCCGGUAAGUCAGCUGUGAAAGUCAAGGGCUCAACCCUUGAAUGCCGGUUGAUACUGUCGGGCUAGAGUCCGGAAGAGGCGAGUGGAAUUCCCGGUGUAGCGGUGAAAUGCGCAGAUAUCGGGAGGAACACCAAUGCGAAGGCAGCUCGCUGGGACGGUACUGACGCUGAGACGCGAAAGCGUGGGGGAGCAAACAGG
rnacentral:rRNA from 1 species